UUGGUUGAGCUAGAAAGUCAAGGGUUGGAAUUUGCAAUAGCAAUCUGCAAGAAACCGGUUGAAUCUGCCCCGGUUCCUCCCGUUGAUGCGAAUGGGAAUUCGAAUGCUCCUGGCCUGGAUGUGGAGAAAUCAGUGUAUCAUUGGAACGCUGCAGCUGGCGUUGUUGUUGCUGCAUCGGUAGCUGCAUUUGCAUAUUGGUAUGGAAGGAGACGUAAGAGGUGGUGAAAGAGAGAAUGGAUGGAUUGAUGGAGGUAAGGUUAUAAUCUGUGAAAUGGUGUAGGUUACUGAAACAUUUGUAAGUGAACUUCUGUAGUACAAUUCCCCUUGUUGUACUUGUACCACUAAUACAUA
rnacentral:lncRNA from 1 species